AGAGUUUGAUCCUGGCUCAGAGUGAACGCUGGCGGUAGGCCUAACACAUGCAAGUCGAACGGCAGCACAGAGGAGCUUGCUCCUUGGGUGGCGAGUGGCGGACGGGUGGGGAAUACAUCGGAAUCUACCGUUUUCGUGGGGGAUAACGUAGGGAAACUUACGCUAAUACCGCAUACGACCUACGGGUGAAAGCCGGGGACCUUCGGGCCUGGCGCGGAUAGAUGAGCCGAUGUCGGAUUAGCUAGUUGGCGGGGUAAUGGCCCACCAAGGCGACGAUCCGUAGCUGGUCUGAGAGGAUGAUCAGCCACACUGGAACUGAGACACGGUCCAGACUCCUACGGGAGGCAGCAGUGGGGAAUAUUGGACAAUGGGCGCAAGCCUGAUCCAGCCAUACCGCGUGGGUGAAGAAGGCCUUCGGGUUGUAAAGCCCUUUUGUUGGGAAAGAAAUCCUGUCGGUCAAUACCCGGCGGGGAUGACGGUACCCAAAGAAUAAGCACCGGCUAACUUCGUG
rnacentral:rRNA from 1 species